UCAGCGGCAGGGACUCCCCCUCCUGGUGCUUCAGGAGUCAGCUAAAGCUGUAAGUACCUUCUGGGCAUGACUGUGGCUUUUGGAUUCUCUCCGUCUUUCUGCUUGAAGAUGGAAAGGUGCUGGAGAAACUAUCUGCUUACUUGUACUAAAAUCCGGGAUUUGGAGGAACUCACAGUGACCAGGCAACACCAUAGCAUUUAUAAAAAUGACUAUUGCAAAGUGAUCCCAUCUCCACAGUGAAGGCACUAGACUGAAGAGUGUGUUGCUGUGAUUCCUCUGGAAAUGCAGCAGCUGCUGUCCUGUCACAGUGAAUGUAUGGCAGAUGAAUUCACCAGUACAGUUUCAGAGAAAAAGUGGCAAGCUGAAGGAGAAUUUCUGGUCUGCAAGCUACAUAAAGACACUUUUUCUGAUAUUUUGCAUUCACUGGAACUCCAUGCAUGGUGGGAAGAAUGCAAGGACAGU